UUGUGGCCAAAAAUGAUUUGCCAAUUAAAAUUCCCAAAUUUUAUGCAAAAGGCGGGAGGACUUCCCCCUCUUUCUUUUUGUUUUUGGGCAAACCCUUCCCCUCUUUUGUCCCAACCCUUCCCCAAUUCCCCCAAACGCUCCAGCUUCCAAAGAAUAAGAUCUGAAUGAUCCUUUGGCCUUCCCUCAACCCAAAAUUCCUCUCUCAACCCAAAAUUAGGGCUUGAAAUGGUAAGCUUCUUCCCCUCUUUUUCAAGGUUAGGUUUUUAUUUGAUUUUCAUGUAAAUUUAUAGAAAAUUUGUUAGAUUUGCUAAACUUUGGGUACAAAUGGAUCCUUAUACUUCCGCAACUCGAAUGCUUUAUCACUGGCAGAAUAACUUCAUGACUUACUAUCAAAUCCAAAAAAUUUCGGUUAAAAUAGAAAAUACAAUUACCAGAAUGUAUUAUUUUCUAUCUAUGUAUCAGUUUAAAAGGCACUGAAAUAAUUGUAGGUUGCAGCUCAAUUGAUGUGGAGGAUUUCGAGAAAAUUUAUCUGCACUUCCCAUAUGCAUUAUCUCAUUGUUUAAUUUUCUAACUUAUUAGGUUUAUCUUGGUUGAGCAUUCCCAACUACAUACCUCUUGGCAUGUUUCUUCAUAAACCUUUUCAAGCACUUCCAUGAUUAAAUUUAUGAAGUUGGGAUGUUUUUUGAUUUGGAAUUAGUCUAUUAGAAUAUAUAUUAUAUUUUCUUUUCAUUGUAAUUAUUUAUCUAGGGACAAAUAUGCAUCUAAUUUAUAGGUGUUGUAUGUUUUACCAAAUUUCAACUUAACAGAAUUUUGUUGUUAUAGCACUAUAAUGAAAAACCUUUCAUUCCUUGUUUAUGUGAUUUACUUUGCAUUGUUGAAGCCUUCUUUUACUUAUUUGUUAAACUUUUUCUUUUUUAUUGAACAUAUUAGCAAUUUGUUAAAUCUUAUGUGCAGGGGUGAGGGGCUAAUAUUGAGGUUAGACUCUUAAUGUCACUUCAAUUGAAUGACCUUAUAUCUUUAAAUUUUUUGUGCAUUUGUCCUAUAAGCUCGUUGCAGAUAAAUAUUCUUUUUAGUAAUCUUGUAUGGCUAGGGAUAUGGUUAAGACAGUAAUAAUUUUAUAUAACACGAAAACUCUGGCCUAAGCAUCUUUUGCUUCUCUUUUAGAUUGACAACUUAAUAUCAGCUAUGCCAUAUACAAUUUUAUUCUUUUUUAGGGGGGUGGGGUUGGCAAAGUUGGGUGAAGAAUAGUUAGCUGUCCGCUUAAUUUUUUCUUUUAUAAGUAAUAUUCAGUUUGUUUUCAUUUUGAACUCUUAAAUGAUAUUCAUUAUUCUUUUAUCUUAAGAAUGGUGCCUACACAUAAUACUAUUAUGUUUUUUUAAGUUUCAGAGUAACCUUUUUAUAUAUGGUGGCUCUUUCCAUAUGCAUCACUAGUACAUGUAUUCUUAUAUCGAUAUUAAUUUUUGUCAUUAACAAACAGAUAUUUGGAAACAAGAGAGGUUGCUCUAAUGGUAAGAAACCUCCACUUCCAACCAAGAGGUUGUGAGUUCGAGUCUUCCCAAGAGCAAGGUGGGAAGUUCUUGGAGGGAAGGAUGCCGGAGGUCUAUUUGGAAGCCUCUCUACCCAAUAGUAGGGGUAAAGUCAGCGUACACACUACCCUUCCCAGACCCCACUAAAUAGUAUACUUUGUUGUUGUUGUUGUUGUUGUUGUUAUUGUUGUAACAAACGGAUAUUGUAUAUUUACUUUAAUAAGAGAUGAGAACAUGUAAAAUGAUUACAAAAUCUUUUUACCUUUGAAUUUGUUAAUGGUGAACUCUUCGUACUCCAUAGAGGGAUAUGCAAAGGUAUCAACAUUCUGUAUUAGUACUACACUUGAACUUUAUUUUUUUCUUACUCUAACUUGCAUCUUUUUCAGC
rnacentral:lncRNA from 1 species